UUAAAUAGUUUCAAUUUGUUUUGUAUGAUGUUAGAAUAAAAGGAAUUUAUGUUGAAUUAUUCAUUUAUUCUACAUGUUUUCUAAUGUUUUUAGAUUGAAUGUUUGAUGAUUGAAUGCACGUAUGUUUGUACAGGUAUGUGUUAUGACUGCAAGUACAAUAUGUAAAUGUAAUAUAAAUAGAAAUACAAUCACUGGAACAAAUGUACUUUGAUAGAUCAUAAGAUUUAAAUACUAUACGUUUGGUAGUAUUCAAAAAUAGGAAAAAUAUAGAUAUUUGAUAUAUAUCUAUACCAUACUUUAAUUGAAGGAGUUUACAUAACACUUAAGAUUACUCAUUUUAAUGAAGUAUCGUAAACACUGAAGUACAGAAGCAUUUAAAAAAGUGGAUAUAAUUGUACCCAAGAGAUGAAAAAUUGAGAUUAAAAUUUUUAUAAGGUAUUAAUCUUCCUUAUACAAUAGCACAGCUAAUAUUUAUUAGGCAACAUAAAAGAGGAAAUGAAGAAAUUUUAUGUAAAAAUUCUGAUCUGAAUCAGUUAUAAAUGCCGUAUCAUCAUUGUUUCAAAUACGCAUUAUACCGUUAUAUAAAGUUGUACAAUUAUGUUGCGGGUAAGGUAAGAAUUUUCGAAUGAAAAUGGAAAGUUUCGUUAGUACUAUAAAUAUACGAAACAUCAUCCAGAUAUAAUCGGGUAAAAAAUUUCAGUAAUCUUCAUCAUUGUUUCAUACAAGAUAAAAGAAGUUACAUUAUGCCGUCAUAUUUCCCGCUGUUAAGAUAUGGAAGUUAUCGAACCGUUAAAGGUGGUACUAGCUAGGUAGAUAUACGUAUACGAUCUUUACCUAUAGAGAACCUCUAAUAUCUACGCGUGUACAAGUGCGUGCUAUUCUCUGUGGCGCACGUCUGCCCUUUGCUGCGACAAGUCCGCUUGUACUAUAAAUUGCCAAUGGAAACUCAUGUAAAUACUUUAUACACAGAGUUCAGCCAAUUAUCUAUUACCACCUUUUAAAUUAUCCAGGACAAGUUUGUCUAACACGAAUUUUAUCGUACAGAAGGGAUUCGUACACAUGAUUUACUUUCUAAUAGAGGUUGCCUCGGAUGAAUACAUACAAUGGUGUAUGACGUACAUUUGGUCGAAAUGAAAACAACGAAAAUCAUUUGUUGACGCCAUAAUUAUAAUUAAAAAUAUGUCGUAGAAAAAUAUGAUAAUAUUAGCCAUGAAUAAAUAAAAUAAUUGUGUAGGAUGCAUUCGUUUAUAGAACAAGUUGGCAUGCUUUUCAUUUGGAAGAACACGCGGGUCCAGAAGUUAUGUGAAGAUAUAUAUCUUUAUAACUCAUUUUAAUACAAAAAAUUAAGAUACCAGCAAAAGGAAUUUUGAUU